rnacentral:lncRNA from 1 species
UGAGAAUGCUGUUCUGUUUUAAAGUCAAGGAUGUGCAAGAGUGGAAAAUAGUGGUGGGAUUCCUCUCCGAAAUGAAAGCAAAUUCUAAACUUGAAGAAAGAGGAAGGCAAAAUAGUCUGAGGAAAUGAAAUAGCAAGUAAGCUCCCACCUGAUAACCAUGCUCCCGUGGCCUGGAUCUUAGCACAGAUGUCCUUAAUUGGUUCCCACCGGCAGCAUGAUAAUCUAGAUACAAGAACAUUGCAGCUUGGAAAGACAAGAGAAAGCCAAAUUUCCCACUACGGGAAUUCCAACGUGACCCAAAGUAUAGCUCAAAGAAUACCCUCCUCCUAUCUUAAUUC